GAUGAAGAACGCAGUGAAAUGCGAUAAGUAAUGUGAAUUGCAGAAUUCCGUGAAUCAUCGAAUCUUUGAACGCACAUUGCGCCCCCUGGCAUUCCGGGGGGCAUGCCUGUCCGAGCGUCAUUUCUGCCCUCCAGCCCGGCUGGGUGUUGGGCGCUGUCCCCCCGGGGACACGCCCCAAAGGCAGUGGCGGCGCCGCGUCGGGUCCUCGAGCGUAUGGGGCUUUGUCACCCGCUCGGGACGGACUCGUCGGCGCUGGUCUUCCUCCAGGCGACCCUUCGGGGCUCGUCUUCCUUCGGUUGACCUCGGAUCAGGUAGGGUUACCCGCUGAACUUAAGCAUAUCAAUAAGCGGACGA
rnacentral:misc_RNA from 1 species